rnacentral:rRNA from 1 species
AACGAACGUUAGCGGCGCGCCUAACACAUGCAAGUCGCACGAGAAAGGGCUUCGGCCCCGGUACAGCGGCGCACGGGUGAGUAACACGUAGGUAAUCUACCCCGAGGUGGUGGAUAACCUUCCGAAAGGAGGGCUAAUACAGCAUAAGACCACGGUUCCGGAAACGGGAUUGAGGUCAAAGCCGGCCUCGUCAUGAAAGCGGGCGCCACGGGAUGAGCCUGCGGCCCAGCAGGUAGCUGGUAGGGUAAUGGCCUACCAAGCCAAAGACGGGUAGCUGGUCUGAGAGGAUGAUCAGCCACACUGGAACUGAGACACGGUCCAGACUCCUACGGGAGGCAGCAGUGGGGAAUCUUGCGCAAUGGGCGAAAGCCUGACGCAGCGACGCCGCGUGAGUGAUGAAGGCCCUCGGGUUGUAAAGCUCUGUGGAGGGGGACGAAUAAGUGUUGGCUAAUAUCCAGCAUGAUGACGGUACCCCUUUAGCAAGCACCGGCUAACUCUGUGCCAGCCGCCGCCGUAAAAC